rnacentral:lncRNA from 1 species
AUGGCCCACUGGGAGACCAGGAGAAGUACCUGGCUCCUGCCAUCGGGUCAGCGCGGUGAACCAACGGCAAAAGGAAGACCUUUGUCUCUCUUUCUCACUGUCCACUCUGCCUGUCAAAAAAAAAAAAAAAGAAACUGCCUCUCUGGCCCUGCCCUGUUCCAUAACCGUCACGGCUCCCCACUGGCCUCAGGAAGACAGGGCAAGGCUACGGCCGCCCCCCGCGGCUCAGUGCCCCUGCAGCGCCCACGCGCUGUCCUUGUCCCUGCGUCUUUGCUCCUGGUGCGCCUUCAGCUGGGGACGCCCUCUCCCUCUCCUCCCCUUGCUAUAAUCCUAGUUUGCUGUGUUUCUUUAAAAAAAAAAAAAAAAAAACCAAAAAAACAAAAAAACAUUCAUUUUGUCAGGCAGAGUGACAGCAGAGGGAGAGAGCUCUUCCCUCCGCUGGUUCACUCCCCAAACUCCCCCAAAUGUCCACAAAAGCCAGGGCUGGGCCAGGCUGGAGCCAGGAGCCCCAUCCGGGUCACCCACGUGGGUGCAGGGGCCCAAGCACUCGGGCCAUCUUCCGCUGCUCUCCCAGGUGCAUUAGCAGGGAGCUGGAUUGCAAGUGGAGCGGCUGGACGUGGAACCAGCGCUCCAAUAUGGGAUGUGGGUGGAGGCUUAACCCACUGUGCGGCAGCGCCAGUCCCUAAAACCCUGUUCUUAAAGGCCCAGCUCAAGGGGAGGACGAGACAGGACCUGCUCCGGGGAGGGACCCACGUUCGAAUGCGGUCUCGCCGUUUCCUGGGUGAGCCACCUUUGCUCUCCGCAUCAGUAAAAUGGGGUCAUAUGAUGACAAACAAGAGCCCUCCCCUGAGACUCAGAGAGCCAAUCAGACACGGCCGCGACUGGAAGGAGCUGUGGCAGCAGGCAGGAGGGCCACCCCUGCAGUUUUCCUCUGUGCACAGUUUUCUUCCUUGGCCUCUCCCGUCGUCUAUGUCAGCGCAUCACUGGGACACAGGGUGUGUGGCUGGCCCUAGGGACAGAGCGGCCACCAGGAGGGACAAGGCUGCCCUCAAAGCACUGGCGUUCUGGAUAAGCCAGGGUGCCCAGAGCCCCGAGGCAGCGUGUACGCCAAACCCCGAGUGGGAGGAAGGAGCCAGGCCCCCGAAGACAGGAGGAGAAGUGUUUGGCAGAGCAAACAGCCAAGUUCAAGGGCCCCGAGGCAGGGGCCAGUCGGGAAGGUUCAAGAAAUAA